AAAAGGGCACGACCUUACUUGAACAGGAUCUGUUCUAUAGGCUCGUACCUCUGUGUCCUUGAGUAUCAAGGAGACAAGAUCCGCAGCUUGGUUGAUGAAUCAUGACCAGGUGAUCGGAGCGUGAUUAUUGGCUGGGUCGUCCAUCAUCAUGGCUCGACUUGGCCGCAGAGGAUCGUUCCCAGGCAGUUCUGCUGUGUGGGAUGGUCACUUGGUUGUCUGACAAGCUCCCAAAAAUUUUUUUCCGUUUAUUCCUCAAAAUCUGAAAGGACUGGCCCUUUUUCUCCCCGACCACCGCUGACGUGCUGUGCCUUGGAAUGUUCUCAUGUAGGGGUAUUUCACAGCCAAAAAACCGUUGACGUCGACCUCUCUUUACAAGGUAUUUCACAUCCUCCGAUGAGCGAUGGAGAUCGACGGGAAAGUCCAUUCUCAGAGGCCCGUGACACUAGCUUCUGAGGAACAUCCAAUGAAGAGAGGAACCGAGGGAGCUUGUGAUUGAAGACAUCUCAGGUUCAAUUUAUCAUCUAACCUACUUGGACGAAUUGCGGCACGCCAUACUUGAGUUCUACUUAUUAUGUGCGCAUUUGGGGAACGAAAUAAACUCAGUUUCAGCUGCUAUCCCAUUUAAUGUUAUAUGCUGCGUAGGCAUCUAGGUUGCCAAGACACUUUGUUAGCUUGGACUAAAUGGAAGUAGGAAGCGUUCCAAAAUUUGCUUGUAGGUGUAAAGCCACUACAAGAAGAUAGUGGCAAAGCACAAUACGAUUGGAAUGUUUGCUCUGAUGGGGUAUUCACAGUAAAAUCAUCCUAUGAAAUGAAAGAUCAAGGCGUGACGAUUUGGGGGGAUGAGGAAGAAAUAGGGCGGUUAGAUGGCCCGGAGCUCGAAGUGAAGUUUUUCUUUGGCCUGAUGGCUAGUAGUUAAAAGAGAAACUUCUUAACAGGUUUGUUUAUCUCGACUUGUGAUGGGCUGCACUAGUUUAUCAGUGAUCUUGAGUUCUGAAACUUCUAAUCAACAGGGAAAUGUAGCUUAUGUAAUUGUGGGAAUAGAAUAGAAAAUUUCUUCCGAACAGUGAAA